CCCUUAGAUGUCCUGGGCCGCACGCGCGCUACACUGAUGCAUACAGCGAGUACUUUCCAGCUCCGCGAGGCAGCUGGUAAUCAGCAAUAUGCAUCGUGCUGGGGAUAGAUCUUUGGAAUUAUAGAUCUUGAACGAGGAAUUCCUAGUAAGCGCAAGUCAUUAGCUUGCGCUGAUUAAGUCCCUGCCCUUUGUACACACCGCCCGUCGCUCCUACCGAUUUCGAGUGAUUCGGUGAACCUUUUGGACAGCGUCUGUCCUCGUGUCAGAUGCUGAAAGUCAAGUAAACCAUAUCACUUAGAGGAAGGAGAAGUCGUAACA
rnacentral:rRNA from 1 species